ensembl:miRNA Mir709 microRNA mir-709
UGUCCUCUUUCUCUGCUUCUACUCAGAAAUGCCCUGAGUGUACAACUGUCCUUCCCCAGUGUUCCAGCACUGGGGAGGCAGAGGCAAGAGGAU